ensembl:snRNA U6 U6 spliceosomal RNA
UCGCUUCAGUAGCACAUAUACUAAAACUGGAACAAUACAGAGAUUGGCGUGGCUUCUGCGCAAGGAUGAUAUGCAAAUUUGUGAAGCAUUCUAUAUUUUU